GAACUGCCUUCAGAAGUCUGUAUAUUUUGUCUUUCCAAAGUCUGUCAGGAACCAUUUUCUAAAAAGCAAAAACAAAUGUAUUUUUCUUAAUAUAUAUAUAGAAUAUUUACAAUAUAUCGUAUAAAAAUAUUUAAUCAUUCAGAAAAGUUAAAGCUGUAGAAGUAAAGAAUUUUGACUCCCCUAAGAAAGAUUCAGACUGAGAAAAAGGAAAGCUCUGGUGUAUCUUACUGGUAUAGGGAAGGUGUGGGGACAAAGAAAGAAAAUAAAGUUGUACAGGUUGGCAUUAUCCUUCUCCACCACAUAAUACUCAAUCUAAGGUUCAAACUCGGAUAUGCCCUUACAUGUAUGUAUGUGUAUGCCUUUAAUUGUCACAAAAUGGCUUUCUCCAGUAGAGAACUUAAGCAGAACGAUGGGAGGUUUGGGGAGGAAGAGAAGUGGUUGUUUUGUUCCCUUUUUCGGAGUGGUAAUGGAAAGCAGGGACCCUCUCCACCGUGGAAGGCAAAGAGGCACUUUCUCAGUAUGGGACCUACUGUGAAAAGCCAUUUGAGAGUUCACAACCUCUUCCUGCAAGAUCUUUUGCUAACCUGCCCCUUUGGGUGUACUGAAACAGGCUAGGCAUGGUGGUGAAAGCAAGAGGCACGUAAUAUCGAACACCCUUCUCUUUGUCUCUUUAAAGGAGAGGUCUUCCUCCAUUCCAUUCCCUUGGUGUUCUUCUGCUCAUUGUAUCUUAUGUUCAAAUUCUCCCGAGUCCUGGUUUAACUAGGAUAAUUUUUCAAAUUCUAGGAUUGGAGGAUGAGCAGUUUUGCUUCAGCUUUGGCAACCUUUAUUUUGUUCUCUUUCCCCUACCCAUCCCGCUCCUUUCCAUUACCAAUGUUCACACGGUGCUUUCAGGGCUGGCCCUAUCAUUAGAAAGAGUGAGGCUGUUGCCUCAGGUGGCUGAUUUGGGGUGUCGCAAAUGGUUGGCUAUGUAAUUUAUUGUUGUAGUUUCACUGCCAGGAAGCAGGAGAGGCACUUGUGGGAUUUUCUGCCUCAGGUACCACAAAAGUUUGGCCAGCCUUGGAUACACUUUGACCGUGUGUGUGUUUGUUUGUAUGUAUGUAUGUGUCUCUCUCUGUGUGUGCAUUUGCUGCUCUGCCUCAAACAGCAAAAGUUAUUGGGGCCAUCGCAGUGUGUGCUGAUAAAAAGCUGCAAAGUGGGUGGGUGAAAAUAUCUUGAUUAUAUAUAUAUAAUUGUAUCAAGUUUUCUUUGGGGCCAUGUAAUGUAUACAUGUGUUUCUCCUCCGUAGGAAAAAAUAAUAAUCACACACACAAAAUGUUUGGCUCAUCUGUAUCUGCUAGUGUUGCCAGGUCAGGAGAUCCCAGACCCUAAGAUUUCAGGGCCCAAAGCAGCCCCCAGUGAUAUCAUUAAGCAUGAUGGGUUAACUAUUAACUUCAGUCACUCAAUUAAAAAAAACAUGAAACCUAACAAAUGAGUUGGGACACUAGUUGGGUCACUAGCUGAAACCUUAGCUAAAGAGGGUUGUUCCUGUGUUUGUUGUGAACUGCUCUUGUCAACAGCCAGUGUUUAUGCUGCAGUUGCCCCCCACUUAUAUAUGCAUUUAAUUUUCUUUCCAGUCUUCUUUAAAAAACUAACUAAAGGUGUUUUUGCUCACCUGAAUAUUCAAACCCUCCACCUGCCACCUGGGGGGUGGCGAGUAGGCAAACCAGGAGACUCCAACUUAGCCCUGGGGGUCUAGCAACUCUAAUCUGUGCACGAUUACAUAAAGUUUGCUUUUCUGGUGGCACAAAAGUAAAAACACACAUUGGCAACUCCAGAGGAAAAAAAGAAUCUUGAUGCAGGCCCUCAUCAAGACUGGGAGGAAGUCCUAGCGUAUUCAAGUGUGGCCUGCUUCUGAGAAUACAAAUAUAGGAUUACACUAUUAAUUGCUAACUUCACUUGGAUUCAACCAGCUAUUCAGAGGUUGGUUCAAAGCCUGAAAUCCAACCUCAGCCCAGUCUCCUGACCUGUCAAUGAAGAAUGGCGAUUCAAAAAGAUGGAGCACAUGGAGCCUGCUUCCAGAUAAUUUGGGGGAAAUGACGUUCUUUGUGGGAACAGUCUUUUGUCUAAAUGUCUGCCAAAAUUGAUAUAAUUUCUGUGCUUGGAACUGACGAUAGGGAACCACUCUGAAACCACCCACUAACUUUAGAUGUCUGCAGGAAGCUCAGCAUAUUGGCAUUUAACCCCUUGAAAUGAAAUCGGGCAAACUUUUCAGCGGUUUCAGCUUGGUCUAGCUACACUAAGAUGAGUCUAGGCACGCUCAUUCACAGUAGCCAAGGCUUAGGCCUUGACAUGUGUAUUUGUUUUCUGACACCUUGAAUGUUCCUUGUGUCACUUUAAACAAAAUGUUUCAUAGGCUCACUCAAGCCGUGUACUGUACUGUAAGCCUGUUUAGAAACUGAGAUCCGUUUGUAAAUUGAAGUACUAUUUCCCACGCUCAUGCGGUUAUGAACAUUUGUGAUGCAACUGUUAGUACUUACAGUUUCUUCAGCACCUUAGAGAACAAAGGAAAAACCAAACGUUACUGGACUUAUUAAUAUUGUACAACAUUAUGAACCUGUUAGAGGUAUUGCUAUAUCCUGACAAACCCGAGUUAGCCUAAUUGAUGUUCCAUGUUUCAUACAUUCUUCUCCACCAGCAUCUAUUAGCUCGUCCCUAUUCUGGAGUUCCAUUGAUGUCCCUCUGCCAAGAGAAAUGCAACUCUAGAGUCACAGUGUUUUUAGCAGAUCUGUGUAGAAGGCAGGUCAUAAUUUGCUUAUGCUCACAAACAUUUGCUACGUUGUCUUUUUCAAAAUGCAUGAGCAGGCUGCAUCUCUCCUUUGUUUUGAAGACAUGGUUUAUAAAAAACGUAAUAGAUUUAUACCAAACCAUAUUAGACCUGUAUAUUUUAUGCAAGAAGUACAUGCUUUAAAAAUAUUUUUAAAAAGUUAUUUACCCAUUGUCAGCUUUGGUGGCAUUAUGGAUCUGAAAAAAACAGAUAAUGAUUUUAUAUUUGCUGCACUCCUUAGGUUAUUGCAUGCAUAUGAUGACAGGUAGGCCUGAGAAAACACUGCCUUUUGACUUUGAACAUUUUAGCUACUAACCAGAGUUGUAGAAUAAAUGAAGCUGUAUGUCUGUUUACUUUAGUCUGUGGUUCUUUAAGGGGAAAAAAAAAAACAUUAUCUGGCAACCAACAGCAUCCACCAUGAACUGUUUGAUAGAUUUAUGUUGUAAUGUAUCGCAGCAUGUAAAUAAUAUAACUUCUCUGCAAUAAAACACAUUUAUAUG
rnacentral:lncRNA from 1 species